AUAUUUCCUUUCGGAAUUCCUUUUUGUCUCGCUUUUGCCGCUCAUUGAGACAAAAAUAGUGAAACUUGAAACCCCCAUUCAUGGAAUUGCCAAAUGUAUUUAUCAUAACUGUUUAAGGCGGGAGACAAAUAGUUGAAACUUGAAAGCUCAAGUGUUGCUACUGGAAUGAGUGAACCAAUGCAUUUUGCCACCUGGAAGAUGCAAGGUCACGUGACAAAUUGAACUUAAAUGGAUCUUGAUCAUGGAAUCUACAGCAAAACUGUCCAAUAGGGUUUUGCCAUGUCAUGUCAUGACUAUGGGGACCACAGAAAGGGUGCCAACCAUCUUAUCUGGAUGACUUGUCAAUCGGCAGCUGCUAUAGCUGUUGGGGGAAGGGAGGAUACAGAUUUCUCUCUCACCUGCACUGCUGCAGCUGUUAUUACUACCCUGAGCUCCUCUAUAAUGUCCAAGCCAAAAGAAAUUUAUGCUUUGUUGUGCCUCGUCUUUCUCUCCUCCUUUACUUGUUGAAGCUUGUAUGCCUCACCUUAACCUUUGCUUGGGGACAUUCAGGCCUUGGGCUUCUAGGACAACGACUUUUCUUUCUUCCAGGCACCUGAGUUACUUAAGAUGUGUAAUUAUCAACCAUGGGAAGAUGAUUCACCUUCAAGUGAAGAUCAUGAACCAAGGACCAGAAAUGUCACAAACACUGUGGCAACUGGAUGGCAUCCAUGGGAAACCAGAAUAGCAAUGUUAGAGGCACGGAUAGCAAGGAUUGAGGUUCGACUUGACGGUCUUGAAACAAGGAUGUUUUAUCAGCAGAAGGCACUGCGGAUCAUAUCUUUGCUGUUUUUGGUUACUCUUGCAUAUGCCAUAUGGAAAUGAAUGUGAGGGAUGAUAAAACUGUUGAAGCUGUAAUGUUGUACAGCUCUACUUAGAUGUGGACUUAGCUCGCCAUCUCAUGUGACGCGAUUUUUGCACUGCAGAAGUCAAACAGAAGCUAACAAGGAGGAAACAAGCUACUUAAAUUUUGUCAACUUGUUGUUCUUUGUCUGUCUACAGAUGAUUGUCACAACCAUGUUUUGUUGGUCUUUAUGAUAUAUCAUCACUAUGAUUUUCCAAUUUUUCUCCUUUUUCCAUUUUCUAGUAUGAAAUCCUUUUUGUCAAAACAAUUAUUUAAGCAAUUGUUAGAAUAUAUGUUCAUCACA